CACGUGGGGAACCUGCCCCAUAGUCUGGGAUACCACUUGGAAACAGGUGCUAAUACCGGAUAAGAAAGCGGAUCGCAUGAUCAGCUUUUAAAAGGCGGCGUAAGCUGUCGCUAUGGGAUGGCCCCGCGGUGCAUUAGCUAGUUGGUAAGGUAAAGGCUUACCAAGGCGAUGAUGCAUAGCCGAGUUGAGAGACUGAUCGGCCACAUUGGGACUGAGACACGGCCCAAACUCCUACGGGAGGCAGCAGAU
rnacentral:rRNA from 1 species